CACUAAGCCAGUGGUGAACUCCACAUACGCAUCCUUUGCUGAAGGCAAUGGUUAACGGAGCGAAAGCGACGUUCAACCGCAAAACAAGCAGAGGGGGCUUAGUGGUGGGGUGACUGCGUACCUUUUGUAUAAUGGGUCAGCGACUUAUAUUCUGUAGCAAGGUUAACCGUAUAGGGGAGCCGGAGGGAAACCGAGUCUUAAUUGGGCGUUAAGUUGCAGGGUAUAGACCCGAAACCCGGUGAUCUAGCCAUGGGCAGGUUGAAGGUUGGGUAACACUAACUGGAGGACCGAACCGACUAAUGUUGAAAAAUUAGCGGAUGACCUGUGGCUGGGGGUGAAAGGCCAAUCAAACCGGGAGAUAGCUGGUUCUCCCCGAAAGCUAUUUAGGUAGCGCCUCGUGAAUUCAUCUCCGGGGGUAGAGCACUGUUUCGGCUAGGGGGCCAUCCCGGCUUACCAACCCGAUGCAAACUGCGAAUACCGGAGAAUGUUAUCACGGGAGACACACGGCGGGUGCUAACGUCCGUCGUGAAGAGGGAAACAACCCAGACCGCCAGCUAAGGUCCCAAAGUCAUGGUUAAGUGGGAAACGAUGUGGGAAGGCCCAGACAGCCAGGAUGUUGGCUUAGAAGCAGCCAUCAUUUAAAGAAAGCGUAAUAGCUCACUGGUCGAGUCGGCCUGCGCGGAAGAUGUAACGGGGCUAAACCAUGCACCGAAGCUGCGGCAGCGAACGUAUCACUUAAAGCGAUUCAGCGGGUUACGAUUGACGGAGCGAAGCGACGUCAAAGCGUAUACAAAGUCGAGUCGGUUUAAGGAUACGUUCGUUGGGUAGGGGAGCGUUCUGUAAGCCUGCGAAGGUGGCCUGUGAGGGUUGCUGGAGGUAUCAGAAGUGCGAAUGCUGACAUAAGUAACGAUAAAGCGGGUGAAAAGCCCGCUCGCCGGAAGACCAAGGGUUCCUGUCCAACGUUAAUCGGGGCAGGGUGAGUCGACCCCUAAGGCGAGGCCGAAAGGCGUAGUCGAUGGGAAACGGGUUAAUAUUCCCGUACUUGGUGUUACUGCGAAGGGGGGACGGAGAAGGCUAUGUUGGCCGGGCGACGGUUGUCCCGGUUUAAGCGUGUAGGCUGGUUUUCCAGGCAAAUCCGGAAAAUCAAGGCUGAGGCGUGACGACGAGGCACUACGGUGCUGAAGCAACAAAUGCCCUGCUUCCAGGAAAAGCCUCUAAGCAUCAGGUAACACGAAAUCGUACCCCAAACCGACACAGGUGGUCAGGUAGAGAAUACCAAGGCGCUUGAGAGAACUCGGGUGAAGGAACUAGGCAAAAUGGUGCCGUAACUUCGGGAGAAGGCACGCUGACACGUAGGUGAA
rnacentral:rRNA from 1 species